AUGGCCCUGCUGCUGUGCCUGGGCCUGACGGCGGCGCUGGCCCGCGGCUGCCUGCAUUGCCACAGCAACUUCUCGGAGAAGUUCUCUUUCUACCGCGACCACGUGAACCUCAAGUCAUGGUGGGUGGGCGACAUCCCCGUGUCGGGCUCGCUGCUCGCAGACUGGAGCCAGGACACGAUGAAGGAGCUGCACCUGGCCAUCCCCGCGGAGAUCACCCGGGACAAGCUGGACCAGGUGGCGAACGCCGUGUACCGGAAGAUGGAUCUGCUGUACCAGGGGAAGAUGUAUUUCCCGGGGUAUUUCCCCAACGAGCUGCGAGCCAUCUUCCGAGAGCAGGUGCACCUUAUCCAGAACGCCAUCAUUGAAAGCCGCAUCGAUUGUCAGCGUCACUGUGGCAUCUUCCAGUACGAGACCAUUUCCUGCCUCAACUGCAAGGACUCGCAUGUCGUCUGCUUCGGCUACAACUGCGAGUCGUCGGCGCAGUGGGAGAGGGCUGUGCAGGGUCUUCUCCAUUACAUAAAUCAGUGGCACAGGUAAGUCCCCCUCCCCAAACCCCACUUGUUUAUCAGAGGCAGUACGUGCACCCUUGGGUGAGUAUGUGUGGGGCCGGCCACAGGAGGUGGCGCCUGGCCCCAGUGCUCUGGGCCCCAGUCCCUUGAGGGUCUCUGAGUUCAGCUGGCACAAGAGGGGGUGGAUCAUUUUGGUUAAAGGGUCCCACUGAGUCUGGUCCUACCCCUGCCCCAAGCGGGUGGCAGGGCUGUGAUCAGAGCCGGGGAGGGCAGGCCCCCCAUGACAGAUGUGCACCCCUGUGGAGGGGCCUGGGGCCACAGGCACAGCGUCGGCCCCAAAGCUCGGGGCUAACUGGGGCCCCGUCAUGUCUUUCAGACAGGACACCAACACAAGGUAAGGCCCCCUGGCCUAUCCCCUCCAAAGCCCUGGCCUGGCCUUCUGGAGGGGAGGGGAGGGGAGAGAGGAAAGGGGUACUGUGGGGUCCCUCAGGUCAAGGGGAUGGCUGGGGGGGUUUGAACAGGGCUCUUUCUGCACUUGAGACAUGCCGGAUGUCACCACUGCAACCACACCCUGUGAUUGAUUCAUGAAUAAACAUGCGCUCCUCUCCCCCUUGCUGCCGGAUGCACAGGACCACUCCAGCCUUCCUGGUAUCACCGAGCUUCACGUGUCUCGAGCCCCCGCACCUGGCCAACCUGACUCUGGAAAAUGCUUCCCAGUGCCUGAUGCAGCACUGAUGGCCGCCAGGCCUGCCGGACCCGCCCCAGCGGCAACUGGGGCCUGGAGUCAGCUGGACUACCCCAGCCUGGCCCUGUGGAGGGGUCCCCUCGCCCCCACCAGAGCCGGGCCGGCCGAGAGGAGGGGAGGUGGAUUUGUAUAUAGUGUUGACCCCGGGCAGGAUCGCAGAGUUAUUUGAUGGAAUGAUUAAAUUCCCGGAUCUUUCUCA